GAUGAACGCUAGCUACAGGCUUAACACAUGCAAGUCGAGGGGCAGCAUGGUCUUAGCUUGCUAAGGCCGAUGGCGACCGGCGCACGGGUGAGUAACACGUAUCCAACCUGCCGUCUACUCUUGGACAGCCUUCUGAAAGGCAGAUUAAUACAAGAUGGCAUCAUUAGUCCACAUGUUCACAUGAUUAAAGGUAUUCCGGUAGACGAUGGGGAUGCGUUCCAUUAGAUAGUAGUGGGGGUAACGGACCACCUAUUCUUCGAUGGAAAGGGGUUCUGAGAGGAAGUUCCCCCACAUUGGAACUGAGUGACGGUACAAACUCCUACGGGAGGCAGCAGUGAGGAAUAUUGGUCAAUGGGCGAGAGCCUGAACCAGCCAAGUAGCGUGAAGGAUGACUGCCCUAUGGGUUGUAAACUUCUUUUAUAAAGGAAUAAAGUCGGGUAUGCAUACCCGUUUGCAUGUACUUUAUGAAUAAGGAUCGGCUAACUCCGUGCCAGCAGCCGCGGUAA
rnacentral:rRNA from 1 species